ACAAGCGGUGGAUGAUGUGGUUUAAUUCGAUGCAACGCGAAAACCUUACCUACCCUUGACAUGUCAAGAAUUUUGCAGAGAUGUGAAAGUGCUCGAAAGAGAACUUGAACACAGGUGCUGCAUGGCCGUCGUCAGCUCGUGUCGUGAGAUGUUGGGUUAAGUCCCGCAACGAGCGCAACCCUUGUCAUUAGUUGCUACCGCAAGGAGCAACUCUAAUGAGACUGCCGGUGACAAACCGGAGGAAGGUGGGGAUGACGUCAGGUCCUCAUGGCCCUUAUGGGUAGGGCUACACACGUCAUACAAUGGCCGGUACAGAGGGCUGCCAACCCGCGAGGGGGAGCCAAUCCCAGAAAACCGGUCGUAGUCCGGAUCGUAGUCUGCAACUCGACUGCGUGAAGUCGGAAUCGCUAGUAAUCGUGGAUCAGAAUGUCACGGUGAAUACGUUCCCGGGUCUU
rnacentral:rRNA from 1 species